UAGUCCACGCCGUAAACGUUGUAUACUAGGUGUUGGGAGUAUCAACCCUCUCAGUGCCGCAGCUAACGCAUUAAGUAUACCGCCUGGGGAGUAUGUACGCAAGUAUGAAACUCAAAGGAAUUGACGGGGGCCCGCACAAGCGGUGGAGCAUGUGGUUUAAUUCGAUGAUACGCGAGGAACCUUACCAGGGCUUAAAUGUAAGUUGCAUGAUUUAGAGAUAGAUCUUUCUUCGGACUACUUACAAGGUGCUGCAUGGUUGUCGUCAGCUCGUGCCGUGAGGUGUCAGGUUAAGUCCUAUAACGAGCGCAACCCCUACCGUUAGUUGCCAGCAUGUUAUGAUGGGGACUCUAGCGGGACUGCCGGUGCAAACCGAGAGGAAGGUGGGGAUGACGUCAAAUCAUCACGGCCCUUACGUCCUGGGGCUACACACGUGCUACAAUGGUAACGACAGAGGGGCAGCCACCCCGCGAGGGGGAGCGAAUCCUUAAACGGUUAUCUCAGUUCGGGAUCGGGAGUCU
rnacentral:rRNA from 1 species